rnacentral:rRNA from 1 species
ACCGAGUUUGAUCAAUGGCUCAGAUUGAACGCUUGGCGGCAUGCUUUACACAUGCAAGUCGAACGGUAACAGGGACUUCGGUCUGCUGACGAGUGGCGAACGGGUGAGUAACAUAUCGGAACGUGCCCAGUAAUGGGGGAUAGCUCGGCGAAAGCCGGAUUAAUACCGCAUACGCCCUGAGGGGAAAGUGGGGGAUCUUCGGACCUCACGUUAUUGGAGCGGCCGAUAUCAGAUUAGCUAGUUGGUGGGGUAAAGGCCUACCAAGGCGACGAUCUGUAGCUGGUCUGAGAGGAUGAUCAGCCACACUGGGACUGAGACACGGCCCAGACUCCUACGGGAGGCAGCAGUGGGGAAUUUUGGACAAUGGGCGAAAGCCUGAUCCAGCCAUGCCGCGUGAGUGAAGAAGGCCUUCGGGUUGUAAAGCUCUUUCGGCCGGGAAGAAAUCGCACGGGUUAAUACCCUGUGUGGAUGACGGUACCGGAAUAAGAAGCACCGGCUAACUACGUG